rnacentral:rRNA from 1 species
GUAAGGUGGUACAGGAACAAGUGCUGGGCAAGACCGGUGCCAGCCGCCGCGGUAAUACCGGCAGCACGAGUGAUGGCCGCUAUUAUUGGGCCUAAAGCGUCCGUAGCCGGCCGAGCAAGUUCGUUGGGAAAUCUGCCCGCUUAACGGGCAGGCGUCCGGCGAAAACUGUUCGGCUUGGGGCCGGGAGAUCUGAGGGGUACGUCCGGGGUAGGAGUGAAAUCCCGUAAUCCUGGACGGACCACCGGUGGCGAAAGCACCUCAGAAAAACGGACCCGACGGUGAGGGACGAAAGCUAGGGUCUCGAACCGGAUUAGAUACCCGGGUAGUCCUAGCCGUAAACGAUGCUCGCUAGGUGUGGCGCAGGCUACGAGCCUGCGCUGUGCCGUAGGGAAGCCGUGAAGCGAGCCGCCUGGGAAGUACGUCUGCAAGGAUGAAACUUAAAGGAAUUGGCGGGGGAGCACUACAACCGGAGGAGCCUGCGGUUUAAUUGGACUCGACGCCGGACAUCUCACCAGCACCGACAGUGUGCAGUGAAGGUCAGGUUGAUGACCUUACUGGAGCCACUGAGAGGAGGUGCAUGGCCGCCGUCAGCUCGUACCGUGAGGCGUCCUGUUAAGUCAGGCAACGAGCGAGACCCGCAUCCCUAGUUGCCAGCAGCAACCUUGUGUUGGCUGGGUACACUAGGGAGACUGCCGCUGCCAAAGCGGAGGAAGGAACGGGCAACGGUAGGUCAGUAUGCCCCGAAUGUGCUGGGCAACACGCGGGCUACAAUGGCCGGGACAGUGGGACGCGACCCCGAGAGGGAGAGCUAAUCUCCUAAACCCGGUCGUAGUUCGGAUUGCGGACUGAAACUCGUCCGCAUGAAGCUGGAUUCGGUAGUAGUCGCGUGUCAUUAGCGCGCGGCGAAUACGUCCCUGCUCCUUGCACACACCGCCCGUCAAAGCACCCGAGUGAGGUCCGGAUGAGGCCACCAUGCGGUGGUCGAAU